UGGAGAAGAGGAGAAAAAGUAUUCUAAACGUAUCAAAGGGUCAGAAACUGGUUUCCUAGAUGGUUGUUUGGAGGAAAAGAAAAGCGAGGUCUGCAGAGUGCAUCAUGGGAACAGCUGAGAGAGUCCCAGAAGUGCCCGGUUUAUGAUUCCUCCUCCUCCUCCGUCUUUUCCACUGGCAACGCAAUGGUCUCCGAUACACCUUCUGAACGGCCUCUUCUUAGAGGUGGAGUGGAAAGAGGAGCCAGGCAGCUUCCUCAGGCCCUCUUGACCUUUGAGGAGGUGGCUGUGUUUUUCACG